rnacentral:rRNA from 1 species
UGGGGAAUUUUGAACAAUGGGGGAAACCCUGAUCCAGCCAUCCCGCGUGUGCGAUGAAGGCCUUCGGGUUGUAAAGCACUUUUGGCAGGAAAGAAACGUCAUGGGUUAAUACCCCGUGAAACUGACGGUACCUGCAGAAUAAGCACCGGCUAACUACGUGCCAGCAGCCGCGGUAAUACGUAGGGUGCAAGCGUUAAUCGGAAUUACUGGGCGUAAAGCGUGCGCAGGCGGUUCGGAAAGAAAGAUGUGAAAUCCCAGAGCUCAACUUUGGAACUGCAUUUUUAACUACCGGGCUAGAGUGUGUCAGAGGGAGGUGGAAUUCCGCGUGUGGCAGUGAAAUGCGUAGAUAUGCGGAGGAACACCGAUGGCGAAGGCAGCCUCCUGGGAUAACACUGACGCUCAUGCACGAAAGCGUGGGGAGCAAACAGG